rnacentral:rRNA from 1 species
GACGAACGCUGGCGGCGUGCCUAACACAUGCAAGUCGAGCGGAGUAGUAGCAAUACUAUUUAGCGGCGGACGGGUGAGUAACACGUGGGCAACCUGCCUUAUACAGGGGAAUAGCCAAUCGAAAGGUUGAUUAAUACCGCAUAACAUAUAUUUAUCGCAUGGUAGAUAUAUCAAAGGAGAAAUCCGGUAUAAGAGGGGCCCGCGUCCCAUUAGCUAGUUGGUGAGGUAACGGCCCACCAAGGCGACGAUGGGUAGCCGAUCUGAGAGGAUGAACGGCCACAUUGGAACUGAGACACGGUCCAGACACCUACGGGUGGCAG